rnacentral:rRNA from 1 species
AUUGAACGCUAGCGGCAGGCUUAAUACAUGCAAGUCGAGGGGCAGCAUGAUUGUAGCAAUACAAUUGAUGGCGACCGGCAAACGGGUGCGGAACACGUACACAACCUUCCAACAAGUGGGGGAUAGCCCAGAGAAAUUUGGAUUAAUACCCCGUAACAUAGCGAUGUGGCAUCACAUUGCUAUUAUAGAUUUUUCGCUUGUUGAUGGGUGUGCGGCUGAUUAGAUAGUUGGCGGGGUAACGGCCCACCAAGUCUACGAUCAGUAGCUGAUGUGAGAGCAUGAUCAGCCACACGGGCACUGAGACACGGGCCCGACUGCUACGGGAGGCAGCAGUAAGGAAUAUUGGACAAUGGACGCAAGUCUGAUCCAGCCAUGCCGCGUGAAGGGUUAAGGUCCUCUGGAUUGUAAACUUCUUUUAUAAGGGACGAAAAAAGGCUUUUCUAAGUCGUCUGACGGUACCUUAUGAAUAAGCACCGGCUAACUCCGUGCCAGCAGCCGCAGUAAGAC